rnacentral:rRNA from 1 species
UUUAUGGAGAGUUUGAUCCUGGCUCAGGACGAACGCUGGCGACGUGGAUAAGGCAUGCAAGUCGAACGAUCCCUUUUAGGGAUAGUGGCAAACGGGUUAGUAACACGUAGGUACAUUCCCUUAUCACGGGCAUAACUUCGCGAAAGCGGAGCUAAUUCCCGAUGGUCCCUUCGGGGUAAAGGAUUUUUCCGGAUAAGGAUUGGCCUGCGGCCUAUCAGCUUGUUGGUGAGGUAAUUGCUUACCAAGGCUAUGACGGGUAGGGGGCGUGAGAGCGUGAUCCCCAACAAGGGCACUGAGACACGGGCCUUACUCCUACGGGAGGCAGCAGUCGAGAAUCUUCCACAAUGGGCGCAAGCCUGAUGGAGCGACGUCGCGUGCAUGAAGAAGCCCUUCGGGGUGUAAAGUGCUUUUCUAAAGGAACAAUAGUCUUUUUAAGACACUGAGCGUACUUUAGGAAUAAGGGGUUGCUAAAUUCGUGCCAGCAGCAGCGGUAAUACGAAUGCCCCAAGCGUUGUCCGGAAUUACUGGGCGUAAAGCGUCUGUAGGGGGUUUAAUGCGUCUUCUGUUAAAUCUUACUGCUCAACAGUAAGGCUGCAGAAGAAACGAUUAAACUAGAGGAUGUGAGAGGUUGAUGGAACUCAGAGAGGAGGGGUGAAAUCCGUUGAUACUCUGAGGAACACCAAAGGCGAAGGCAUUCAACUGGCGCAUUCCUGACCCUGAGAGACGAAAGCGUGGGUAGCGAACGGGAUUAGAUACCCCGGUAGUCCACGCCCUAAACGAUGGGUACUAGCUGUUUGAAGUAUCGACCCUUCAAGUGGCGCAGCUAACGCGUUAAGUACCCCGCCUGGGAAGUACGGUCGCAAGGCUAAAACUCAAAGGAAUAGACGGGAGCUUGCACAAGCGGUGGAGCGUCUGGUUUAAUUCGACGAUAAGCGAAGAACCUUACCAGGGUUUGAAAUCCUGAUGAAAUCCUGCAGAAACGCAGGAGUUCUACAAGGACAUCAGGACAGGUGCUGCAUGGCUGUCGUCAGCUUGUGGCGUGAGUUGCUCCGUUAAGUCGGGUAACAAGCGCAACCCUUACUCUGUGUUACAAGUGUCACAGAGGACUGCCCCCCAUUUUGCUCAUCAAUUAAAUUGGUGAUCAGAAUGGGGGGAGGAAGGUGAGGAUGACGCCAAGUCAGCAUGGCCCUUUGAUACCCUGGGCGACACAGGCGCUACAAUGGCCUAUACAAUGGGUUGCUAAGCCGUAAGGUGGAGCUAAUCCCAUAAAAUAGGUCUCAGUUCGGAUUGGGGUCUGCAAUUCGACCCCAUGAAGUCGGAAUCGCUAGUAAUCGCGGAUCAGCCACGCCGCGGUGAAUACGUUCUCAAGCUUUGUACUCACCGCCUGUCACGCCAGAGAAGCCGGGAGCACCCGAAGUCCCUGUUUUUACAGGGCCUAAGGUGAAUUCGGUGACUAGGGCGAAGUCAUAACAAGGCAUCCGUAGGGGAACCUGUGGAUGGAACA